ACGGCUAUACUACCUUAAGAGUGCCAGAUCUUGCCUGAUCUUGGAAGCUAAGCAGGAUUGGGCCUAAGUGCUGGGAUGGGAAACCAAAUGGCAAAACCAGGCUUACUUCUGUC
rnacentral:rRNA from 1 species